CUCUGCAUUUGAUCAAAAGACUUCUAGGAGAGUGAGUGAGCAACCCUGCAAGAACAGCAAGAGAAAGUAAAGGUGGGAGCUCGUUGAUGGCAGCUGGUUGAACUCCCUCUUGAUUAAAAACUGAGAUAUAAAACCAAUAAUUUGUGAAGAGGCUAGAGAAGAAUCCGAAGGGAAGUUACAGUGCAAGAGUCCAAGAUAUUUUUCCAAGAUACAGAAGUAGAAAAAUGACGGUAAGUGGCUGGUCAUACCCACAUUCAGAUGGAGCAGCAUGGCUUUGGUUUAGCAUCAGUGUUAAACAGCAGUGAUGUAGUUCUGGGAAGGAAGUAUUUUUGGUAGGUUGCUGCUCACAAGAUGGACACACACCUGCAUUUGAAAGCAAAGGUAAUAAUGUGUGAACAGUGAAUGAAAAUGUAUAUUUAACUUGUUUCAAGUAUAUUAUAAUCUAGGAUU
rnacentral:lncRNA from 1 species